rnacentral:tRNA from 1 species
GUCCUUGAGGUGUAAGGGACGGCAUUUAACUCUGCGAAGGUUAAGGACCAGGUUCAACUCCUGGCAAGGACAC